rnacentral:snoRNA from 1 species
GGAUUUUAGUGAUGACAUAAUUUGCGAUUGAGGACAGGAUCACCUGGAGCACGCCUAGUUCCAUUGUAGGGUUCUUGUAGAAUGCGAAAACUCUUUCCCUGAAAUGCUC